rnacentral:sRNA from 1 species
UGAUAGCCCCGAUUGUAGCGUAAAUCCCGCAGUAGCGUGGGGAUUGGUGAUGGACGAGGAAUUGCAGCGGAAAGCGGGACCGGAC